UGUGAACAGGCCUAAGAGAAAAGAGUAACACCUGCUAAGUUACUCAAUUAGUAAAAAGUUGACGUUAGACUCUCCAAAAGGAAGGCUGUUGUCAGACAGCUGUUUGAUGCAAAGCAGACUGAUAUAUGACGUGGUCCCUGUGGGAAGCUGGGGGAGAUGCACACAGGAGCCAGCCCACCCUCACCUGCCUCCCUUCCCUGUGUCACACUGUGACAUAUUCGCCAUCCUCACGGAGCCUUCUGCCUUCCUUCGGUGCUGAUGGGCCAUCUCCCACCUCUGAGGAGUCUUUGAGGAAGGCAACUUACGUUGCAUCAACAAACAGGCCCUGCCUAAUUUCCCCAUGGUACUUGAGGGGAAAUUCUCUAUAAGCAU
ensembl:lncRNA